UUGAAUGCAUACAUUGUAAAUUAGGAUAAAGACAAUUUAUCCUACUGGUGCUCAGCAAUUUCAGAUGGCAACCUCAAGCGUGACCUAACCUGAAAGCUAUUUUUUACUUAUUACGGCAUAGUCCAAUGGCCAUAUAUGUUGUGUCUCUUCAUCAUUUAUGUGAGUAAAGGAGUAUUUUUGUUGGGGUUACAAGAAUAAGGUUGUUUGGAUCUGGUGUGGAAGUUUGUUUUGGGUUUAUGGACUGAGGCUGGUUGUCGUUCCCGUUUUGAAUAGGUUGGCUUUGUUGUGUGGGUGCUCUGCUCUAUGGUCGGAUGUCAUGGAGUGUUCCCUUACUGAUUUCUUGCUGUCUUAUUGCCUCUUCCCCUUCAUUAAAUCAGUUUAAGGUGUUUUAAUUUGUUUCCCUGGUGUUAUAGCCGGUGUUUAUUAUCGAAAAUCCUAUUCGCUAUUGUUGUGUUAGAUCUGAUUUCCGGUUGGUUUGAUUGAUUCGUCGAAUCUGCUUCGUUUAGAUCUUGGUCUGAAUCAGUUCGAUUUGGUGAUUUAAUGAUUAUCUUAUUUCGAUUUCAACUGAUUUGGUGCUUAUUUUCGGCUGUAGCACCUGAUUUGGUGGCUGCAUCUAGAUCUGGAUUUUUCAUUUGUUCAGAUCGUUAGGUUAGGGUAUGUUGUUGUUUGGUGGAUCUGAAAAUGGGUUAUCCGUUUAAUGCAGAGAUUUGUAGCUUUCAAAUUUAAUUUUUUUCUAUUUCAAUUUAAAUGUAAUUCCAGUUCAUUAUCUGCAAUUAUAAAUAUGUCUUCUCUCAAAUUCUU
rnacentral:lncRNA from 1 species